UCGACGGGAGAAUUGCUAGCUUGCUAAUAAUUCUCUAGUGGCGCACGGGUGAGUAACACGUGAGUAACCUGCCCCCAAGAGUGGGAUAGCCCCGGGAAACUGGGAUUAAUACCGCAUAAAAUCGCAAGAUUAAAGCAGCAAUGCGCUUGGGGAUGGGCUCGCGUCCUAUUAGUUAGUUGGUGAGGUAACGGCUCACCAAGGCGAUGACGGGUAGCCGGUCUGAGAGGAUGUCCGGCCACACUGGAACUGAGACACGGUCCAGACACCUACGGGUGGCAGCAGUCGAGAAUCAUUCACAAUGGGGGAAACCCUGAUGGUGCGACGCCGCGUGGGGGAAUGAAGGUCUUCGGAUUGUAAACCCCUGUCAUGUGGGAGCAAAUUAAAAAGAUAGUACCACAAGAGGAAGAGACGGCUAACUCUGUGCCAGCAGCCGCGGUAAUACAGAGGUCUCAAGCGUUGUUCGGAAUCACUGGGCGUAAAGCGUGCGUAGGCGGUUUCGUAAGUCGUGUGUGAAAGGCGGGGGCUCAACCCCCGGACUGCACAUGAUACUGCGAGACUAGAGUAAUGGAGGGGGAACCGGAAUUCUCGGUGUAGCAGUGAAAUGCGUAGAUAUCGAGAGGAACACUCGUGGCGAAGGCGGGUUCCUGGACAUUAACUGACGCUGAGGCACGAAGGCCAGGGGAGCGAAAGGGAUUAGAUACCCCUGUAGUCCUGGCAGUAAACGGUGCACGCUUGGUGUGCGGGGAAUCGACCCCCUGCGUGCCG
rnacentral:rRNA from 1 species